ensembl:lncRNA
GUGCUAGGUGGUGCUAUGAAGUGUUAGGUGGUGCUAUGAAGUGCUAGGUGGUGCUAUGAAGUGCUAGGUGGUGCUAUGAAGUGUUAGGUGGUGUUAGGUGGUGUUAGGUGGUGUUAAGUAGUGUUAGGUGGUGCUAUGGUGUGUUAGGUGGUGUUAGGUGGUGUUAGGUGGUGUUAAGUAGUGUUAGGUGGUGCUAGGUGGUGCUAUGAAGUGGUAGGUGGUGCUAGGUGGUGCUAUGAAGUGCUAGGUGGUGCUAUGAAGUGUUAGGUGGUGCUAGGUGGUGCUAUGAAGUGGUAGGUGGUGGUAGGUAGUGCUAUGAAGUGUUAGGUGGUGCUAUGAAGUGUUAGUUGGUGCUAGGUGAUGCUAUGAAGUGUUAGGUGGUGCUAUGAAGUGUUAGGUGGUGCUAUGAAGUGUUAGGUGGUGCUAGGUGGUGCUAUGAAGUGUUAGGUGGUGCUAUGAAGUGUUAGUUGGUGCUAGGUGAUGCUAUGAAGUGUUAGGUGGUGCUAUGAAGUGUUAGGUGGUGCUAUGAAGUGUUAGGUGGUGCUAGGUGGUGCUAUGAAGUGUUAGGUGGUGCUAUGAAGUGUUAGGUGGUGCUAUGAAGUGUUAGGUGGUGCUAGGUGGUGCUAUGAAGUGGUAGGUGGUGCUAUGAAGUGUUAGUUGGUGCUAGGUGGUGCUAUGAAGUGCUAGGUGGUGCUAUGAAGUGUUAGGUGGUGCUAGGUGGUGCUAUGAAGUGGUAGCUGGUGUUAGGUGGUGCUAGGUGUUGCUCGGUGGUGCGCUAUGAAGUGUUAGGUGGUGUUAGGUUGUGUGAGGUGGUGCUAAGUGAUGCUAUGAAGUGGUAGGUGGUGCUAGGUGGUGCUAUGAAGUGCUAGGUGGUGCUAGGUGGCACUAUGAAGUGUUCGGUGGUGCUAGGUGGUGCUAUGAAGUGCUAGGUGGUGCUAGGUGGUGCUAUGAAGUGUUAGGUGGUGCUAUGAAGUGUUAGGUGGUGUUAGGUAGUGUUAGGUGGUGCUAUGAAGUGCUAGGUGGUGCUAGGUGGUGCUAUGAAGUGUUAGGUGGUGUUAGGUAGUGUUAGGUGGUGCUAGGUGGUGCUAUGAAGUGCUAGGUGGUGCUAUGAAAUGCUAAGUGGUGCUAGGUGGUGCAAUGAAGUGUUAG